GGUCGAUUCGUCUAGGGGUUAGGACGUCAGAUUUUGAUUUCGAAACAAGAAAUUGUGAAUCAAUUCUGAAAGCCUGGGUUCGAUUCCCAGAUUGACCU